rnacentral:rRNA from 1 species
GCAUAUCAAUAAGCGGAGGAAAAGAAACCAACAGGGAUUGCCUCAGUAACGGCGAGUGAAGCGGCAACAGCUCAAAUUUGAAAUCUGGCCUCUGGCCCGAGUUUGUAAUUUGCAGAGGAUGUUUCUGGCGAGGUGCCUUCCGAGUUCCCUGGAACGGGACGCCAUAGAGGGUGAGAGCCCCGUACGGUUGGUCGCUAAGCCUCUGUGAAACUCCUUCGACGAGUCGAGUAGUUUGGGAAUGCUGCUCUAAAUGGGAGGUGUACGCCUUCUUAAGCUAAAUACCGGCUAGAGACCGAUAGCGCACAAGUAGAGUGAUCGAAAGAUGAAAAGCACUUUGAAAAGAGGGUUAAAAAGUACGUGAAAUUGUUGAAAGGGAAGCGCUCUUGACCAGACUUGCGCCGGUUGAUCAUCCGCCGUUCUCGGUGGUGCACUCUGCCGGCUCAGGCCAGCAUCAGUUCGGUCCGGGGGAUAAAGGCUUCGGGAAUGUGGCUCUCUCCGGGGAGUGUUAUAGCCCGUUGCGUAAUACCCUGGGCUGGACUGAGGUUCGCGCAUCUGCAUGGAUGCUGGCGUAAUGGUUAUCAGUGACCCGUCUUGAAACACGGACCAAGGAGUCGUCUUCGUAUGCGAGUGUUCGGGUGUCAAACCCCUACGCGUAAUGAAAGUGAACGUAGGAGAGAGCUUCGGCGCAUCUCCGACCGAUCCUGAUGUUCUCGGAUGGAUUUGAGUAAGAGCAUACGGGGCCGGACCCGAAAGAAGGUGAACUAUGCCUGUAUAGGGUGAAGCCAGAGGAAACUCUGGUGGAGGCUCGCAGCGGUUCUGACGUGCAAAUCGAUCGUCAAAUAUGGGCAUGGGGGGCGAAAGACUAAUCGAACCUUCUAGUAGCUGGUUUCCGCCG